UUCCGUUUGGAACCUAUUCUUUCAGCAUAGGGACCAACCCAAUCAAAGUAAACCCUUCUUUUGAACUCUUUCUUCGACCCUAGCUUUAGCGUUGUUUAGUUCUCUAUGGGGAGAUUAUCCUUUGGUACAGGAAGUAUUGUACACGUUCCUUGACCAUAUUUGAUACCACAUAUCCUCGGAGGAUUCCACAACUAAGGAGGAGAAUAUAUUUAGGAGGAGAAUAUAUGAAAGGGGGAAGAAAAAGUAAGUUAGCUUUCUUCUGCUGUCUACAACUAAGGGGGAUUAAACUACUCUUUAGCUGUGUACUACUGAGGGGGAGAUUCUUCUUUCAACUAAGGAGGAGGAUUGAUCUUUCAUCUAAAGGGAGAUAGCUACUUAUCACCAAGGGGAACCUGAUCAAGGUAACGGGAGGAGAUGUAUUUAUUCUUCAGUAAGUGGUAGACAGGAACUUAUUCAUUACCACUGGAGAAUUCAAUGAAGCUGCUGAUUAUUCUUUGCAUAAUGGAAUGUUUUGAAUUCUCUUCAAGACAGACUAUGAGGAUUAUCUGGCAGGUAAGCAAGAACCAGAGAAAUAAAAGUGAUAUGCACAUUUGUUAUUUCUAUUCAUGAAAUCUGGAAAUGUAUUAUAUGAUCCAGAAACUUUGUAGCAUUAUUUACUAGUCCAGGACUUUACUUUUUCUAGUGUUA
rnacentral:lncRNA from 1 species